rnacentral:rRNA from 1 species
UGUGACAUACCUAUCGUUGCCUCGGCGGUGCCCGCUCCGGCGGCCCGCCAGAGGACCCCCAAACUCUUGUUUUAUACAGUAUCUUCUGAGUAACACGAUUAAAUAAAUCAAAACUUUCAACAACGGAUCUCUUGGUUCUGGCAUCGAUGAAGAACGCAGCGAAAUGCGAUAAGUAAUGUGAAUUGCAGAAUUCAGUGAAUCAUCGAAUCUUUGAACGCACAUUGCGCCCGCCAGUAUUCUGGCGGGCAUGCCUGUUCGAGCGUCAUUUCAACCCUCAAGCCCCCGGGCUUGGUGUUGGGGAUCGGCGUGCCCUCGCGGCGCGCCGUCCCCUAAAUCUAGUGGCGGUCUCGCUGUAGCUUCCUCUGCGUAGUAGCAACACUCGCACUGGAUCGCAGCGCGGCCACGCCGUUAAACCCCCCACUUCUGAAAGUUUGACCUCGGAUCAGGUAGGAAUACCCGCUGAACUUAAGCAUAUCAAUAAGCGG